rnacentral:rRNA from 1 species
AUUGAGGCAGUCAAAGUAGGCAAAUCCGCUUUGAUAAUGCUGGGAUGUGAUGGGGAGCGAAAUUUAGUAGCGAAGUAGCUGAUUUCACACGGUCAAGAAAAGUCUCUAUCGAGGUUAAAGGUACCCUGACCGAAAACCGACACAGGUGGGUGAGGAGAGUAUCCUAAGGCCAGCGAGAGAACUGUUGUUAAGGAACUCGGCAAAAUGACCCCGUAACGUAGGGAUAAGGGGUGCCACCAUCAGGUGGCCGCAGAUAAUAGGCCCAAGCGACUGUUUACCAAAAACAUAGGUUUCUGCUAAGUCGCAAGACGAUGUAUAGGAGCUGACGCCUGCCCGGUGCUGGAAGGUUAAGGGGAUCUGUUAGAGCAAUCGAAGCAGUGAACUUAAGCCCCAGUAAACGGCGGCCGUAACUAUAACGGUCCUAAGGUAGCGAAAUUCCUUGUCGGGUAAGUUCCGACCCGCACGAAAGGCGUAACGAUUUGGGCACUGUCUCA